AAGCUCGUAGUUGAAUUUCGGGAUCAAUUUGCUGGUCGUGCCUCUGGUACGUACUGGUAUUAUUGGUUUCUCCCUUCUGACGAACCAUGAUGUCAUUAAUUUGAUGUCGUGGAGAAUCAGGACUGUUACUUUGAAAAAAUUAGAGUGUUUAAAGCAGGCAUUAGCUUGAAUACAUUAGCAUGGAAUAAUGAAAUAGGACGUUUGAUCCUAUUUUGUUGGUUUCUAGGAUUGACGUAAUGAUUAAUAGGGAUAGUUGGG
rnacentral:rRNA from 1 species